GACGAACGCUGGCGGCGUGCUUAACACAUGCAAGUCGAACGGAAAGGCCCUGCUUUUGUGGGGUGCUCGAGUGGCGAACGGGUGAGUAACACGUGAGUAACCUGCCCUUGACUUUGGGAUAACUUCAGGAAACUGGGGCUAAUACCGGAUAGGAGCUCCUGCUGCAUGGUGGGGGUUGGAAAGUUUCGGCGGUUGGGGAUGGACUCGCGGCUUAUCAGCUUGUUGGUGGGGUAGUGGCUUACCAAGGCUUUGACGGGUAGCCGGCCUGAGAGGGUGACCGGCCACAUUGGGACUGAGAGACGGCCCAGACUCCUACGGGAGGCAGCAGUGGGGAAUAUUGCACAAUGGGCGGAAGCCUGAUGCAGCAACGCCGCGUGCGGGAUGACGGCCUUCGGGUGGUAAACCGCUUUCGCCUGUGACGAAGCGUGAGGGACGGUAAUGGGUAAAGAAACACCGGCUAACUACGU
rnacentral:rRNA from 1 species